CAGUAGCCGCGGGAAUGUGUAGGUGGCAAGCGUUGUCCGGAAUUAUUGGGCGUAAAGCGCGCGCAGGCGGAUCAGUUAGUCUGUCUUAAAAGUUCGGGGCUUAACCCCGUGAUGGGAUGGAAACUGCUGAUCUAGAGUAUCGGAGGGGAAAGUGGAAUUCCUAGUGUAGCGGUGAAAUGCGUAGAUAUUAGGAAGAACACCAGUGGCGAAGGCGACUUUCUGGACGAAAACUGACGCUGAGGCGCGAAAGCCAGGGGAGCGAACGGGAUUAGAUACCCCUGUAGUCCCUGUCUCUUAUACA
rnacentral:rRNA from 1 species